AAAUCUCAUUAGAAGUUCUAUCUAAAUGUUCCUACAAGGCAACCAAUUAGUCAGCCAGGGACAAAAAGGUUGCAAAAUACAGUGAGAUUGUCCCUUGUUACAAGUUACAUUUUCCCCAGGGUCCACAUGCAAGAACAACAUAAUUAGCAGCAGGUAAGACGUUCGUCUUAAGCAGCUUAAGAUAAAUGGCCAUUCAUGAUAUCUGCAUCACCCACCUAAAAGUACUCCCUCCGUUCCAAAAUAGAUGACCCAACUUUAUACUAAUUUGGGAAAAUAGAUGACCCAACUUUGUACUAACUUUGGGUACAAAUUAGUACAAAGUUGGGUCAUCUAUUUUGGAACGGAGAGAGUAAAAGUUAAGCUUAGGCCCGGGCUAAUACAGUGAGAUUGGGAACGAUGUAUAUUUGUACACCCGGAAAUAUCAGACAGGUGUAUUUUACUGUUCCUCUGAAGAACCUAGUAUUUAUUCUACAGUGGAAAGGUGUGGUUGCUCCCGGGACUGCACACAUCGUUAUCAUAGCCGUACAGCAUCACUGAGAUUCGGUCCCAGGUCUGACCAUUGCAGAAUAUUGGCAGGGCUCAACCGUUCAAGCUGGUCAUUUGACUCAGGUUAAUCACCUAGCAGCUAGGCGUCCCGAAGGCCAUAGACUCCGGACAGCAGCAUGCCGCCUAGCCAUGGUGUUGGAGGAGGAAAUCGACAUGCGAGGGAGUAGAAAUGGUCCUCUUCAGUCUGUUUUACAUCAUUAAAAAAUUGGAUGUGUUUGCUUUGGAGCCACACGAAGUUGGGGUCAAUGCUGCAGGAGGAUGAGGGUAUUGAUGAAGAUGUGAACCAUCGAAUCAAAGCUGGAUGGAUGAAGUGGCGUCAAGCUUCUGGCAUUCUCUGUGACAAGAGAGUGCCACUAAAGCUAAAAGGCCGGUUCUACAGGACGGCGGUUCGAUCCACAAUGUCGUAUGUAGCUGAGUGUUGGCCGACUAAAAGACAGACAUGUUCAACAGUUAGGUGUGACGGAGAUGUGUAUGUUGUGAUGGAUGUGUGGCCACACAAGGAAGGACCGAGUCCAGAAUGAUAUAUACGAGAGAAACUUGUCCAACAUCGUUUGAGAUGGUUUGGGCAUAUGCAGCACAGACCUCCAGAAACUCCAGUGCAUAGCAAACUGCUAAAGAGUGCGGAGAAUGUCAAGAGAGAGGUCGGGGUUGGCCGAAUUUGACAUGGGAAGAAUCCGUUAAGAGAGACCUGAAGGAUUGUAUCGCUAAAGAACUAGCUAUGGACAGAAGUGUGUAGAAGCUUACUAUUCAUGUGCCAAAACCGAGUUGGUCGCGAGAUCUUAUGGAUUUCAUCUCUAACCUACUCCAACUUAUUUGAGACUAAAGGCUUUGUUGUUGUUGUUGUUUGUUUGUUUGUUUGUUUUGGAGCCAGCGGUACUCGCCUCUGAUCAUUCUAGGACAAAAUUGGGUUUAGUGUCAAUUUCCUGACUUUUUUAUGAGUUCUUGAAAGCAUAAGAGAUACUCCCUCCGUACGAAAAUAUAAUGUGUUGUUUAACAUUCAUAGUGUCGAAAACGUCUUAUACUAAGUUAUAGAGGUAGCAUCAUUCUGCGGAUCCAGAUUAACUUGAUAACUUUCACUUUGAAAGAGUGAUGAACUAAUUCAUUUUUUUAGAGUGAAGAACCGUAGCAUUCCUCAGUGGCAUGAGGAAGUGAGCAUCAUUUCCACAUCAUACAAGUAUAUAGGUAUUUCGUGCUAAGCCUGAUGAGCAUAGUGUGCUGCUCCUAGUCUUCGAUAAAUGUCUCAUUAAAAACACUUACCGAGAUGUCCUAGUCCUAAAACGAUCACAUUAGAAGUUCUAUCUAAAUGGAAUAGUGGAGUGCUUCUAGUCUUCAAAAUAUUCCCUUCGUUCCUAAAUAUUAGUCUUUUUAGAGAUUCCAAUGGACUACAUAUGAAGCAAAAUAAGUGAAUAUAUAUUCUAAAAUAUGCCUAUAUACAUCCAUAUGUAGUACAUAUUGAAAUACCUAAAAGGACUUAUAUUUAGAAAAGGAGGGAGUAUAUCAUUAGAAACACCUACCUGGAUGUCCUAGUCUUUAAAAAAUCUCACUAGAAAUCAAAAAAGAAAUCUAACUAGAAGUCCUAUCUAAAUGCUCCUGCAAGGCAACCGAUUAGACAACGAGGGACAACGAGUUGCAAAAUACUGUGGGAUUUCCCCUUAGAUUGUCCAAAGGGUCGAGAGUGUACUCUCUCAAGCAUUGCUUGAUUAAUGCCAUCUCUAAAUAGGAACGUAAGGCAUCCGAAAAUCUGCGACAUAUAAGUUUAUUCCUCGGGCAGUAUAAAUAAUAUGUUCAUUGACAUCUCAAAACUAAUGGUCACCGCAAGAAAAAAAGUGUGUUGUCUCUACUCAAUGUGCCAAAAUGGAGCGGUUUUGAUUCGCCACGGUCUUAGUUGAUUGUUCUUAAAUAGCAUUCGUGUGAGCCAAUAGGAGUUAAUCUUGGCAAAAAAUUAGUUGAUGCCGCUUGCGAGGCAGAUUCAUCAGGUUGCACACGAGAUUACAAUUGCUGGAAUAUAACCGAUUAAUACUGCAGUAGAGGAACACUUGAAGCAACCCACGAGUUUCAUUCUCCAUAUAGAGAACAAUGCUCUAGGAUGAACAAAGCAAUUAUUACAUAGCUACUGCACUAGGUUACAUUUGCCGGCUCUGGCAAUGUUAGUUGGUUCCAUGUGGGAUGCCCAGGACAGAGUGACACGGUCACUGAACAUGCGUUAGUUGCAUGAUGGUAAUGAACGACCUGUAUGAAUGCAAAACUUUGAUCUAUUCCAGUUGUCAAAGAGAAGUGGUUUGAUGCACAUUCGAUCAAGCAAAAUCAAUCAUCGGGUGAUAGCAAUUUUGCCGAUGUCAUGGCACUGCGGCCAUCAUUCCACUCGCAAACCAUUUCUAAAAAGAGCUUGUGAAUGGAUAGCUCAUGCAAACUUUCUUUACGUUUUGGUGGUGCAACCUGCAAAACUUACUAAGUGGUUAAUGAUGCCAACCGCAAACCUUACUUCUAUUGGUGAAGGCAUUACUAAUAUUAGUGCCAUUGUGAGUUCGUAGCGGCUAUCUAUUAUUGUGCAUAUUUACAUUGAUCGGAUCCUCUCUCAUAGCCACUUUCACAUUCACAUACCUUCAUAAAAGAAUGGAUUCGCAUUCAUCUUGACAUCUUCUCUCUUCCUUUUGACACAUCAUCUUUUUUUAUUCAUCUCAUAUUAUUGUGCAUUCUCUUUCUUUUACAUUCUAGCUAAAGAUGAGAUGAAGAAUCCCAUAUUCUUAUUGUUCUAUCAUAUGUCUCACUUGUUCAGUGUGAAUCUGUGUCGUUAUAUGGUUAUAUACUAUCAAUGUAAUCUUGCUCAACUAGCCGAUCAAUGUAAUCUUGCUCAACUAGUACAGCUAGCAUGGGUAUAUGUACUAUCCUCUCCCCUGCUCAACUGAACUUAUAGCUAGAGACAAGAUGAAGGAUCUUGGAUCUUUAUCAACUAUUCAACCGCUCUAAUGGAAUAAGAUCACUCUAGUUUUCCUCUCAGCUGUUAUACUCAAAACACUAGUAGAAUGCCCGUGCGUUGCUACGGGCUAAGGGCGGUCUUCAAGAUCGAAGCUCAUUUCUCCCUCAUACGUCCGGGUAUGUUUGGAUAUCAAACAGGUGCUCAACGAGCUCCUCAAAAUUCAACCGUAUGGACAGUCCGGGCUUCCCCAAAUCCAGCCCAUAUGUGAUGAAGAAAUGUGGUUGUCCGGACAAUCUGCCAUGUUAACUACAACACGCGGUCCCAACACAAAAAACCCACCCCACGACGCAUCCUUCCCUUUUUGUAUGCUGGACCCACCUUUUUCGGCUCGGUUUUCCGCUGUAGCGGGACAUUUCUCGCUGGAGUCCUCUCCUUUAAAAUCGGGAUACACCCACCUCAUGUAUGCCAUGGCGCCAUCUCUCCUUCACAACGUACUUCCCAAAGGACAGCCAAGGAGGAGUCCCUGCCAACCGCCCCGCUCCGAUCCCUCCCCCCAUGUUUGUGUCUAUCCACCACCGCCAUCAAAGGGGAGGAGGCAUGCGCCACUCGUGACACCUCCGGAGUUAAGAAGGCGGAUCCAAUGUCUCCUGGGUCAUUGCCCGUACGUGUUGCAACACAUAAAUAUUCAAGUGCUUCAACACUGAUCAAGUUAAACAUGUACCUUGAGAUUCCUCGUGCCGCUCAUGCAUAUUACACCGCCUCCAUUGUAUCUAAGCCGCCCUACACAAGAGGUCAAGGCAUCAUAUACACCCGCCCUGUCCCCCGGCCUUGUCGUGGGCGUGAUAUUGCUCUAAUCUCUCGUCCCUCAAAUCUACCUCGUAUAUUAAAAUUAGUAAAUAUUUAUCAGAUGAUUUUUGUAGUGGAUUUUAAUCCUGAUCAGUAAUAUUUUCCUACAAAGACAGUUCUGGAUAUAGGAACAAAGCUACAUAAAAAUUACUUUGAGACGCUUCCAAUUCUAUAUGAUUACUAUCAUCCAUUUUUCAAAUGAGAACAUGUGACACCACCGCCACUGCUAACCACCAACUCCCAUUCAAAAUAUAGCUAGUAAAUAUUCCAUAAACUCAUGUCCUAGCAAAAGGAGAACCGGGAACAAUGAAAGAGCAAACUUAACGAAAAUAAGCUUGCACUUGCAUUUGGUUCAAUGUGCUAAUGAUAAAUGGGAUAACAAGCCAGCACCUUAAAAUUUUCUUUUAGACGUGAGCUGUUGUACAAAAUGCUAACCUAACCCCCAAUUAUAAUAAGAGUAUGAAAUUGGUUGACAAAUCCUCCCACUGCCCGACCUUAUUUUCCAAUGUACUCUACCACACAUGCACAAGAAUUUACAAUUUCCCAAACAAACUACCAUAACAUUUCAUGCUUGAGUUGUCCCAGCAUCACCGAAGUCUCGGUGAGGAAUUUGACAACAACCUCAUGAGGACAGACUGGCCCCUACCCAGCAAGGCAGCAACAAGCUAGGACAGGGAGAAGUCCAACAUCUCCUCCUUCGAGAAGCCCCCACCCUCCGAAUCAAGAAACUCCGUUCACCAUGUCCUUGUCCCUCUUUCCCUCCAUCUCGUCCUUCACCCCACUCUUCUCUCCUCUCUCAUCCAACCCCUUCCUUAUCAUAUUCCUCGGCGCUCCAUCCACCUUCUUCCUUGCCUAAAGCAAUUCGGAUAAUAGUAAAUUAUGGUAAUUGUGCAUCAACAUCAUAAUAGUUGUCCAACUAAGUCCAACAAGAUUCCCAAAACUGGAACAUAUUGCAUCAUACAAAUAGAUGCAUAAAACAACAGAAAUUGCAGACACCUGUAAAGACAAGACUCUAAGAAAUUAAUAGUGCCAAUACAUGUUAUGAUAACUACUACAUGAAUUCAACUUAAACUUGCAAGACAGGAAUGCAGGCUAUACACCGAACCUUUAUCAUCCUAUCGGCAUAACCAGUACAUAGCCAUUCAUUCCCAGAUCAAAUUUGUAGAUCAUACCCAUCCCAUGUGACAACUAAUGAUCUGCAUACAUGUAGGAAUACCAUCAAUAGAUAUCUGGAAAAUAAAUAUUGUAUUUUAUGAGAACUAAGAUGCUCUAAUGGACCAGUAUAAUUCCAAGCAAACAUGCAGAAGAAUAUUGAAGGUUUAAAGUUUUAGCGAGUAUAAAAUUUCAGCAUAUGGAUAUUAGAAUUGCAUGCAUGCUCAAAAUAAAUAAUUUUGUCAAUCCAAAAUAUAAUAUAUUGUUGCAUUGGUAACUGGCCGAUAGUUUGCUAUUAAUUCUUGACAUUCUUUAAAAAAAAUCUUGAUGUUUAAGUUUGUACAUGCCCAUUAUUAUAUCUGUAACGCUUAGUUCAAAACUUGAAAUUAACAUAUGCUUUUCUUUAAACAGAAUUAAUCAUAACAAAUGGAGUAAAACAAAUACCGUACCACCAGACCAAGAGUUUUCUUUUAUACAUAUUGGCAUAUUGACAUGCUCUGUUAUAAUGGAUGUGCAAAUAAGAUUUUUAUUUUUGCUGGUAUGCAACUAAUAUUCUAACCCACUGACCUAACUCAACUUAAGACAGGACAACAUCAUAGAGAAGGAAUGUCAACAAAACUCAAGUAACAAGUACUCGUAUUAUGUUAUGCAUCCAUCAGUACAGAAAGUUAUGAUUUACCUGUUAUUAACACAAUUACGUGAAGAAAAGAACAUGCUAAAGUUCUAUGCAUGUGUGUGUGUGUGUGUGUGUGUGUGUGUGUGUGUGUGUGUGUGUGUGUGUGUGUGUGUGUGUGUGUGUGGAAACUAACCAAAUUUAAAUGUGUAUUUCUGAACAAAUAUACUCACAUCACAAAUCCUUCGAUCCAAGUGUGUGAAUUCCAUCCGUUCAAACCUGCGAUAAGAGAAAUUGAAAAGGAGAGACAUGUCACCUGCAUCCAAUUAGCGUAUAGAACAUCACGAUAUCAUUACAUCACCUUUGUGGGGCCUUGAUCAAUGCUUCAUUCUUAAACAUUACAGCAAAAACAAAUGCAUAUGAAAGCUAGAAAUUGUUCUACUUUUUUUCAUGAUAGGGACUACCACACAAAUUCUUUGAGAUGUGGGACGGUAAGAAUUGGAGCAGAGAAACGUUGAUGUAGUAGGUCCUAAGCCAUGUUGUAACACCUAGAAACAAAUAUCUAACCUAGCUAAGCAAAAAAAUUAAAAAUCAAGGAAAACAUAACAGACUAAAAAUAUCUACCCUAGCUAAGCAAUAAAAAAAUUAGAGGGAAACAUAACAGACUAAACAGAACCCUAACAGGUAACUCUACAAAUAUUCACCUGGCAUACGUUAUCUCAUUCCAACAAAUAUUGGAGUUACCUGUUACUGUAUUUGGCAAGCAAUUUCACUUUUAAGGAACUGUAACUUCUUGUUUUUCAGAUGAUCCAUUCAUAGACUUUUUUCCUCAGUAAGAGGCCAACUUCAGUAAGGUUCAAAAAUAGAUAUUUUGGAAAGUCUAUGAAACACCUGAGUUAGACUCAAAUAAGGAAUUGAAACUGCAAUUGUAAAGACCAAGCUGCCAUUUUUUUUUGUUCUCAUUCCAGCCAUUUCAACUCUCAUCUUCUGAAACUCAGCCCACAUCCUACAAAUAAAGAUGUUCAACAAAUAAUGGUGCAAGACAAAGCAUUCUGAUUACUAUAAUGAAAACAACUCCAAUGAUAUUUUUUUUUUACAUUUUCUGUGAUAUUAUACCUGACCUGAUCAUCAUAUUAGCAUUUUUAUCACCUAAACUUCAAGCUAUUACUUGACAUCUUAUGAAUUAAAUGGUAGCUCCAAGGAAGAUAUCUUUGGCUUUGCCGUGCUCGCUCAACUUCCCCCUGCCAUGCAUGUAUCUGCUUAACAAAAGCACAACAGUACAACGUAUUUGUAGAUAAAUAAAUACAGAUACACAAUCAUUGAUAUGGUAGCGGAUCAUGUGGGGGUGGCGCAGAUCACGUGCAGCAUUAUAUAAUCGGUUGAAUUUGGAGCUCAGUGCCGUUCAAUCUGGGCUGCUUGCUGGUCUGGCGUCAGUGAGCUCGUGGAUAUAGCAGACUAACAGUUAGAAUAAAAUGCGUUCUUUGGUUCAUGUAGAUGUACCCGAUGGUAGCAGCCAAUGAGGGUUCUGGCACAGCAUCGUGCACGGCGUUCCCGCGCCAUUGGCAUCGGCGCACUCGGCGGCGAUCUCGAAGGCCGACUUGCCGGACCCCACGACGGUGAUGCGCUUCCCCUUAACCAGCGCGGCGGCGUCCUCGUCGGCCAUGUGGGAGAGCUCCAUGCAGUGGAGCACCCGCCCGCGGAACGCCUCCGGGCCUGGGGACACCGCUGGGAUGUUGGGCACGCCGCUGAAACUGCCGAUGCAGAGGAUCAGGAAGUCGGACUCAUGCACCUCCUCCGUCUCCGGCUCCUGCUCGCCGGCGCCGCGGUGGCCCAUAGUGAGGCGCCACACGCUCGACCCGUCGCCGAAGGCCUCGCCGUUGCCGUUCCACCUCUCCCACCGGUCCGCCGCGCCCUCCGGCUCCGCAUCGACGUACUCCACGGCGACGACCCGGCUCCGGAACCCGACCUGGGAGAGGGGCACGAGAUUUGUGGGUAGAUAAGGAAGGGCAGGGGCCUUGAUCGUGAGGAAAAUUUGAGCGAGGAACAGAAGCUGGAAAAAAAUCCUGGUAUAAUUGGAAGGAAAUAAACGAAUGCGGGAGGGAGCAUCUGUAUGGAAAGAAUCGUGGGAGGGGAGGGUGAAAAGAUUGGUGUUUAUGGAAGCUUUUUGUUAUGAAAAUAUUCGAUAUGAUUUGAUCCCUCUGGUAUAUGGAAGGGAAGGAUGGAACGAUUGGUGUUUUAUAUGGAAGGGUGGGAUCGAUGGAAGGAUGGAAGGGUUCAUUUGGUUUUUCUAGGCAUGGGGCGUGUGGUUCCGAUGAUGCAUGAAUGAAAACCAGUUUUGGUUUUCAGAGGGAGGAAAAAAAUCGGUGGGAGGGAGAUCGCCUGGUGGGGAGAGAUCGUUGGAAGGCUAGAAACGAACGACUUACGUACUGAGACAUUAGGAGUAGAGACAGAUUUGGGAAUGAGAGGCACAAGGAAUACUUGAGAAAGCAGCAAGAGAAAUUCUUGCUUUGGUUUUAGUCUGUUUUGUCUAUGUUUUUUUAUGUGUUUGGUCUUAGGGUCUGCAAUACUGCAUCAGCUGGGGUAGAAGCAGAACAUUACACAGUUCUAGGGCAAAACAGGGUUUCAUGCCAAAUUGACCAUCUUUACAAGUUCUUGAAAACGCAAGACAUGUCAUUCUACGAAUACAGAUUAACCUGGUAACUUUCACUUUGAAUAAAGCACAGGCAGCGGUGAAUUAAUUAGUUUUAUCAUCAGCACAAGGAACAUAGCUUCAUUUCCAUAUCAUACAAUGACUUUUUUUUACUACAAACUCAUGCUACAUCAAUGACUUUACCACAGGCCUGGUCAGCAUAAUGGACUGCUCCUAGUCUUUGAUAAAUGUCUCGUUAAAGAGACCUACACAGAUGUCCUGAAUUUUAAAAGAAUCCCAUCAGAAGCCCUAUCUAAAGAAAAUGGCGGAGUGCUCCUAGUCUUAAAAAUUAUCUCAUCACAAACAAACUUCCCAGAUGUUCUAACCUUUAAGAAAAUCACAUUAGAAGUCCUACCUAAAAGAAAUAGCUGGCUGCUCUUACUCUUACGAAUUAUCUCAUCAAAAAACACCUAUUCAGAUUUCCUAAUCUUAAGAGAGAAAAUCUCAUUAGAAGUCCUAUCUAAAUGUUCCUACAAGGCAACCAAUUUAGUCAGUGAGGGACAAAAAAGUUGCAAAAUACAGUUCGAUUGUCCCAUGUUACAAGUUACAUUUUCCACAAGGUCCACACUGCAAGAACAGCAUAAUUAGCAGCAGGCAAGACCCUAAUCUGAAGCACCUUCAAAUAAACAGCCAUUCAUGAUAUCUGCAUCACCAACAUAAAAGUAAGAGUUAGAGUCUGGGAUUAUCACAGAUGCAAACAAAAGCCUAUUGUUUGCCAAUGUUGCUCCUCAUUGGUGUUCGUAAAAAUGGAUAAUAAUUGCGAAGCUUAUACAGGGUGCAGACCAUUAAAGAGUUGCAAAUGGCAUACAAUGAUUUCGAAAGAAACAUCACCGAGUAAACUGCGAGCGAUUUUUUUAAUAGUUCAUUGUGUUCCAAUUAAUCACCAUAUGGUAUGGUCAAAGUGUUGGUAAACUGAAAACAAUAUACGACUAGUGACUACAUUAUGAAUUUAUGGUGCAAGUCAGGCCUAACCAGAUCCUGCCAUAUAGUAGUAAAGAAAGUCAGCAAGCCCAUCAUGACUGAUAUAUUAAUACCACUAGAUAUGCCAAUCAAAGGAAAUAUCUAAGUAAACUUCUCAAGUUAAGUGAGACUUAAGAAAUGAAAUUGGCCCAGGUCCAAAACUGACAGUGGACAUAAAGGAAUGUCAGUGCAAUCGUCCCUAACAUCACAUACUGUACAUAUGCAGAUAAAAUCAAAUGAGACUAAUAUUUACAAAGGCGGGCAAAAGGCAGAUCCUAUUCUCUUGAAUGACUAAUAAAUAAUUCACCAAAGGUUAAAAUAUUCAUCAUUUAGGCUCCAAACAACAAAAUAAAACUCUUAGGUUGACUUAAAAACAGAAGCUCACUAUGCAGCUUAAAUCUGAAACAUUUCAAUUCAUGUUUCACCAAAAGACAAAGAAUUAAGAAAAGCAAUACAAAAUAAUCAAUAUAUGCAUCUACCCAACAACAAAUAUUUGUUCAAGAAGCACGUACCAAUUGAUCUGUAGCAGGUCUGGUGACAGAAACCUUUUGAGCCUCCUUCUAACAGAAUAUGACAUUGAUUGACAAUAGAAGUAAGAAGAAAACUGUAGCUAACUAAGUCCAUUACCCAUCUCAUCGGUUUUGGAACUCUUAUGCUGCCACAGAUAAGUCAUGUUAACAGACCAACAAAAUGUGCUGCAAGGAAAUUUGUUGUACCAGGAAG
rnacentral:lncRNA from 1 species